GCCAAGUCGUAAAUUAUUAACUUCAACCACGCCAGGGGAUUACGAGCUCCAGCUUAAAACCCAAAGGACUUGACGGUGUCCCAUCCAUUACUAGAGGAGCCUGUCCUAUAACCGAUAACCCACGAUAAACCCAACCAUCUCUUGCCCCCCCAGCCUGUAUACCUCCGUCGCAAGCAUGCCAUAUGAAUGAAUAACAGCAAGGCUCAAGGGCCCCCCGCCAAGACGUCAGGUCAAGGUGCAGCUUACGAGAUGGACAGAGAUGAGCUACAAUUUCUAUUCUAGAACAAACGAAAUUCUACAUGAAACAUAGUCAUGAAGGCGGAUUUAGAAGUAAACAGGAAAUAGAGAGUCCUAUUAAAUUAACCUAGGGACGCGUACAAACCGCCCGUCACCCUCUUCAAUAGUAAUUAGCAAGCUUCAUAACCAAAAACUAUACGCCCUAGAGGAGGCAAGUCGAAACAUGGUAAGUGUACCGGAAGGUGCACUUGGAUUAACAAAAUGUAGCUUAAACAAAGCCACUCGUUUACACCGAGAAAAUGUCCGUGCAAUCAGACCAUUUUGAGCCAAAAAUCUAGCCCAAAUUUUCAUUUGCCAUUUAAUGUAAGAAAAACAAAACAUUUAAACUUUAUAGUAGAGGCGAUCAAAAAAUAUCUAGGCGCUUAAGAGAGAGUACCGCAAGGGAAAGAUGAAAUAGGAGUGAAACAACACCUAAAGCCCACAUUAGCAGAGACACACACUCGUACCUUUGCAUCAUGGCCCGGCCAGUCUAAUCAAGCAAAACGAAAGCUUCAGUUUGACCCCCCGAAACUAGGCGAGCUACUUCAAAACAGCCUUAUGGGCUAAUCCGUCUCUGUUGCAGAAGAGUGGAGAGAUUUUUAAGUAGUGGUUAUAAGCCAAGCGAGCUUAGAGAUAGCUGGUUCCUCGAGAAUAGAAUAUUAGUUCUGCCUUAAAUCUUACAAUAAUUAAGAAUAGCCUCAAAGAUUUAAGAGUUACUCAACUAAGGCACAGCUUAUUUGAGACAGGAUACAGCCUACACUUCCGGGUAAACUCCUAAUAUUAUUACAAGUGGGCUUAAGAGCAGCCACCUUGAAAAGCGUUAUAGCUUAUUAUAAGUUCAUUAAUAAUCCCUUAUUCAACCAUGAACCCUUCCUUCCUAUCGAGGGACUCCAUAAACAUAUGGUAGCCCCCCAUGCUGGGACUAGUAACAAGAAUUUAACAUUCUCCAAAAUGUAAGCUCAAGCCAGACUGGAUGGACCGCUGGCCUCUAACGGAAAUGAGCCAUCAGCAGCAACACAACAAGAAAACCCUGCUUUUUUAACCGUUAACCUUACACUAGAACAUUUCUGGAAAGAUUAAAAGGAUGGGAAGGAACUCGGCAAAACUUAACCCCGCCUGUUUACCAAAAACACCGCCUCUUGAUUACCCAUAGGAGGUCUAGCCUGCCCAGUGAAAAUUAAACGGCUGCGGUACCCUGACCGUACAAAGGUAGCAUAAUCACCCGUUCUUUAAAUGAGGACUCGCAUCAAUGGCAUCACGAGGGCUAAACUGUCUCCCCCCCCCAAUCAGUGAAACUGAUCUCCCCGUGAAGAAGCGGGGAUACAAAUACAAGACGAGAAGACCCCAUGGAGCUUAAAACCACACAGCAACUCUACCCCACAACCCCCUAUAGUACUUAGAGACGUGCAACAAGGUUUUUGGUUGGGGUGACCGCGGAGUAAAAACCAACCUCCACAAUGUAAAGA
rnacentral:misc_RNA from 1 species